rnacentral:rRNA from 1 species
CUCUUGUCUUUAGUGGCCUCUCUGAGUCGUACUUUUAAAAAAUAAGUCAAAACUUUCAACAACGGAUCUCUUGGUUCUGGCAUCGAUGAAGAACGCAGCGAAAUGCGAUAAGUAAUGUGAAUUGCAGAAUUCAGUGAAUCAUCGAAUCUUUGAACGCACAUUGCGCCCGCCAGUAUUCUGGCGGGCAUGCCUGUUCGAGCGUCAUUUCAACCAUCAAGCCUUCCGGGGCUUGCGUUGGGGUUCCUGCGGCCGCCCGCAGGCCCCGAAAUGCAGUGGCGGGCUCGCUGUCACACCGAGCGCAGUAACGUACCUCUCGCUCCGGGCGUGGCGGCCGGCGCCGGCCGUGAAACCCCCCUACAUCUUAAAAAGGUUGACCUCGGAUCAGGUAGGAAUACCCGCUGAACUUAAGCAUAUCAAUAAGCGGAGGA